AGGUAGCAACCUCGCAGAAACCAGAGCAAAACCACGGUAGCACCAAAGCUGCAGGAAUGGCUGUCGGUAAGAACAAGAGGAUCUCAAAAGGGCAAAAGGAGGGAAGAAGAAACGGUAGAUCCUUUCGCUAAGAAGGGCUGGUAUGAUAUCAAAGCGCCUUCAGUAUUCAGCGUCAGGAACGUUGGGAAAACACUUGUAUCGAGGACGCAGGAACCAAGAUUGUCUCUGAGGGCCUCAACCACAGAGUGUUUGAGGGUUCUUUAGUGGACCUUCAGAAUGAUGAGGACCAGACUUACAGUAAGAUUCGACUUCGUGCAGAGGAUGUACAAGGAAAGAAUGUCCUGACUAAUUUUUGGGUAUGCCUCUUACAUCUUGGCAAACAAUCAUGUUCUCUUGGUGUUUAACCUGGUUUCUUUUGAUCCAGGGAAUGAAUGUCACUACUGAUAAACUUAGAUUCUCUUGGCAAACAAUCUCUUUGAAUUUAACUAGAAAUAUCGUAAUGACAACUAUAUUGCAAUGUAAAGGAUGUUACACGUCUUCCAUGACCUUUGAUGGGUCGUCGCUGAUCACUAUAUCGAACUCCAUGGAUCAUGAGAACAGUUGCUUUCAGAUCCCGAGGCAGGAGACGAUGGAGAGGACGGCGCAACGCACGGAGGCGGCGGCGGCAUCGAAGACCGUCGACAAUCUCCUCUCAUGCAACGCCCAGACGGUGCUGAGGCAUUCUACCGUGGCCAGCAGGACGCCCAUCAGUCUCUCCUUUUCGGAAGUGGGGAAAGGAAGGAAUGGCCGCACGCCUCGUCAGAACGCAGAACGGCAAUAAACGAAAGCACUAGGGAGAUAAAGCUGGCGUCGCUUUGAGCGGAGAAUUAUUACGAGACGCCAAUCACGAGCCGAUUUUGAGACAGCCGAUGCAAACCUAACCAGUUAAAUAGAGAAUUAUUAUCUGAGAAA